rnacentral:rRNA from 1 species
UGGGGAAUCUUGCGCAAUGGGCGAAAGCCUGACGCAGCCAUGCCGCGUGAGUGAAGAAGGCCUUCGGGUUGUAAAGCUCUUUUGUCAGGGAAGAAAAGGUUGUGGCUAAUAUCCACGGCUGAUGACGGUACCUGAAGAAUAAGCACCGGCUAACUACGUGCCAGCAGCCGCGGUAAUACGUAGGGUGCAAGCGUUAAUCGGAAUUACUGGGCGUAAAGCGUGCGCAGGCGGUUGAUUAAGUUUGAUGUGAAAUCCCCGGGCUUAACCUGGGAACUGCAUUGAAUACUGGUCAGCUAGAGUGUGUCAGAGGGGGGUAGAAUUCCACGUGUAGCAGUGAAAUGCGUAGAGAUGUGGAGGAAUACCGAUGGCGAAGGCAGCCCCCUGGGAUAACACUGACGCUCAUGCACGAAAGCGUGGGGAGCAAACAGGAUUAGAUACCCUGGUAGUCCACGCCCUAAACGAUGUCAACUAGUUGUCGGGUCUUAAUUGACUUGGUAACGCAGCUAACGCGUGAAGUNGGCCGCCUGGGGAGUACGGUCGCAAGAUUA